rnacentral:rRNA from 1 species
GACGGAAGGUGCAAGCGUUGCUCGGAACCACUGGGCGUAAAGGGUGCGUAGGCGGCCGUGCAAGUCUGGCGUGAAAGCCCCGGGCUCAGCCCGGGAAGUGCGCUCGAAACUGCACGGCUCGAGUGCCGGAGGGGAGAGUGGAAUUCCUGGUGUAGCGGUGAAAUGCGUAGAUAUCAGGAGGAAUACCGGUGGCGAAAGCGACUCUCUGGACGGCAACUGACGCUGAGGCACGAAAGCGUGGGGAGCAAACAGG